UACGGAGGGUGCAAACGUUGCUCGGAAUCAUUGGGCGUAAAGCGCACGUAGGCGGCCUGUUAAGUCGGGUGUGAAAGCCCUCGGCUCAACCGAGGAAGUGCAUUCGAAACUGGCAGGCUUGAGUAUGGAAGAGGGUCGCGGAAUUCCCGGUGUAGAGGUGAAAUUCGUAGAUAUCGUAAGGAAGACCAGUGGCGAAGGCGGGUCUCUGGACAGUUCCUGACGCUGAGGCACGAAGGUCAGGGGAGCAAACGGG
rnacentral:rRNA from 1 species